UACAGAGGUCUCGAGCGUUGUUCGGAUUCAUUGGGCGUAAAGGGUGCGUAGGUGGCACUGUAAGUCGGGUGUGAAAGCCUGGGCUCAACCCCAGAGGGUCGGCCGAUACUGGCAAGCUAGAGUACGGAAGAGGUAGCUGGAAUUCCCGGUGUAGCGGUGAAAUGCGUAGAUAUCGAGAGGAACACCUGCGGCGAAGGCGGGUUGCUGGGCUGACACUGACGCUGAUGCGCGAAAGCCAGGGGAGCGAACGGG
rnacentral:rRNA from 1 species